rnacentral:rRNA from 1 species
UACGAAGGGGGCUAGCGUUGCUCGGAAUCACUGGGCGUAAAGCGCACGUAGGCGGUCUUUUAAGUCGGGGGUGAAAUCCUGGAGCUCAAUUCCAGAACUGCCUUCGAUACUGGAAGACUCGAGUCCGGGAGAGGGUGAGUGGAACUGCGAGUGUAGAGGUGAAAUUCGUAGAUAUUCGCAAGAACACCAGUGGCGAAGGCGGCUCACUGGCCCGGUACUGACGCUGAGGUGCGAAAGCGUGGGGAGCAAACAGGG